rnacentral:rRNA from 1 species
GAUGAACGCUGGCGGCGUGCUUAACACAUGCAAGUCGAACGGUGAAGCAGGAGCUUGCUCUUGUGGAUCAGUGGCGAACGGGUGAGCAACACGUGAGCAACCUGCCCCUGACUCUGGGAUAAGCGCUGGAAACGGCGUCUAAUACUGGAUAUGUGAUGUGACCGCAUGGUCUGCAUCUGGAAAGAAUUUCGGUUGGGGAUGGGCUCGCGGCCUAUCAGCUUGUUGGUGAGGUAAUGGCUCACCAAGGCGUCGACGGGUAGCCGGCCUGAGAGGGUGACCGGCCAGACUGGGACUGAGACACGGCCCAGACUCCUACGGGAGGCAGCAGUGGGGAAUAUUGCACAAUGGGCGGAAGCCUGAUGCAGCAACGCCGCGUGAGGGAUGACGGCCUUCGGGUUGUAAACCUCUUUUAGCAGGGAAGAAGCGAAAGUAACGGUACCUGCAGAAAAAGCACCGGCUAACUACGUGCCAGCCGCCGCGGUAA